UGCUCACUUCAGCAGCAAUAUACUAAAGUUGAAAUUAUACAGAGAAGAUUAGUGUGGCCCCUGCACUACUGGAAUGACAUGCAAAUUUGUAAAAAGCACCCCAUAUUU
ensembl:snRNA U6 U6 spliceosomal RNA